UGAGUGUAUAAGUGAGUGAGUGAGUGGUGACUGCAGGUGGAGUAUGAGAAUCACGUCCGUUUCCGUGGGGGAGCUUCUCUCCGCCACCGCUCCCCAGUGAAAAUCUUCACCAACAUCAGUGGCCUGCGGAGACUCAAACCACCGGGAGACUACCGGUUCUGUGAGCUGUGUGACUGUUACGUUGCUUCUGAUAAUCGACACUGCACCGCCUGUAACGCCUGCACAUCGAUGGAUGGGAGACAAUGGAACCACUGUGACCUCUGCAAGAAGUGCGUGAAGCAAUCGUGGUGUCAUUGCUUCUCCUGCGGAUUUUGCCAUCUCCCCUCUCACGGCUGCCGCAUCUCCAAUCCUGAGACACGGACAACGGAGACACGGCCAGGGACAACGGAGACACGGCCAGGGACAGCGGAGACACCCCCACGGACAACGGAGACAACGGACUUCCCCCUGUGCCAUCGAUGCUCCAGCCCAGGACACAAACGGAGACACUGUCCCCUGGCCACGCCCACCACCUCGGCCGGGGGCGGGGCCAGGAGGCCACGGGGAGG